rnacentral:lncRNA from 1 species
GGUACAUGGCUCACACCUGAAUUCUAAAUGCCUUUGUCUGAAGUUGCGGGUGAGACAAAGAAAAAUAUUGUUGGAAAAUUUUAUUCUAAAAUUAAAGGAAUUUUGAAUAAUAAGGAGGAAUGUUUCAAGCUAGAAGAAGCUGCUACAUAACAGCAAAGACUCAGCAUGGGUGGAUGGACAAAGAAAAAACUGGUUCAUCUUGAGAGUUAGUAAGUAGUCUUUUGAGAAGUCUCCUAUAGAACAAUAUAGAUAAAAGAGACAAGAAAGACAUAAGAAGGACAUGUGUGACUGUGUUUAGGAAUAAAAUGGAUGCAUAAAUGUCUUAGAACAUAAGCAUGCAUUUUAUAUUGUUCAUGAUAUUCUUUCCAAAUAAACAUUUACAACAAAGUAAAAA